rnacentral:rRNA from 1 species
UAGAGUUUGAUCAUGGCUCAGGAUGAACGCUAGCGGCAGGCCUAACACAUGCAAGUCGAGGGGUAACAGAGAAGCUUGCUUCUGCUGACGACCGGCGCACGGGUGCGUAACGCGUAUGCAACCUACCUCAUACUGGAGAAUAGCCCUUGGAAACGAGGAUUAAUACUCCAUAGUAUCAUUCUUUCGCAUGUUAGAAUGAUUAAAGAAUUUCGGUAUGAGAUGGGCAUGCGUCCCAUUAGCUAGUUGGUGAGGUAACGGCUCACCAAGGCGACGAUGGGUAGGGGGCCUGAGAGGGUGGUCCCCCACACUGGUACUGAGACACGGACCAGACUCCUACGGGAGGCAGCAGUGAGGAAUAUUGGUCAAUGGAGGCAACUCUGAACCAGCCAUGCCGCGUGAAGGAUGACGGCCCUAUGGGUUGUAAACUUCUUUUAUAUGGGAAGAAACUUAUCUACGUGUAGAUAACUGACGGUACCAUACGAAUAAGGAUCGGCUAACUCCGUGCCAGCAGCCGCGGUAAUACGGAGGAUCCAAGCGUUAUCCGGAUUCAUUGGGUUUAAAGGGUCCGUAGGCGGAUUUUUAAGUCAGUGGUGAAAGCCGGCAGCUCAACUGUCGAACUGCCAUUGAUACUGGAAAUCUUGAGUACAAAUGAAGUA